UACGGAGGGGGCGAGCGUUAUUCGGAAUUAUUGGGCGUAAAGGGCGCGUAGGCGGCUGUACAAGCCAAAGGUGAAAUCCCUCGGCUCAACUGAGGAACUGCCUUUGAAACUGUACGGCUUGAGGCCGGGAGGGGGUAGCGGAAUUCCCAGUGUAGCGGUGAAAUGCGUAGAUACUGGGAGGAACACCAGUGGCGAAGGCGGCUACCUGGACCGGUUCUGACGCUGAGGCGCGAAAGCGUGGGUAGCAAACAGG
rnacentral:rRNA from 1 species